rnacentral:rRNA from 1 species
CCCUUAGAUGUUCUGGGCCGUACGCGCGCUACAAUGGUCUUCGCAAACGGAUGCAUUCUCGAAGGAGAAUGCCAAUCUUGGAAUCUAUGCCUUGGUCGGGACAGUUGCUUGCAAUUUUUCGACUCGAACCAGGAAUUCCUUGUAAUCGUGAUUCAUCACAUCACGAUGAAUACGUCCCUGCCCUUUGUACACACCGCCCGUCGCUCCUACCGAUCGAAGAGUUAGGUGAAUUGUUUUGAUCGAUAAGAUUUGACUAUGGUCAACUCUCGUUGUGAAAUUCUGUGAAUCUGACUGUUUAGAGGAAGGAAAAGUCGUAACA